UACGUAGGGUGCAAGCGUUAUCCGGAAUUAUUGGGCGUAAAGAGCUCGUAGGCGGUUUGUCGCGUCUGCUGUGAAAAACUGGAGGCUCAACCUCCAGCCUGCAGUGGGUACGGGCAGACUAGAGUGCGGUAGGGGGAGAUUGGAAUUCCUGGUGUAGCGGUGGAAUGCGCAGAUAUCAGGAGGAACACCGAUGGCGAAGGCAGAUCUCU
rnacentral:rRNA from 1 species